UACGGAGGGUGCAAGCGUUGUUCGGAUUUAUUGGGCGUAAAGCGCACGUAGGCGGCUUUCUAAGUCAGGGGUGAAAUCCUGGAGCUCAACUCCAGAACUGCCUUUGAUACUGGAGCUUGAGUCCGGGAGAGGUGAGUGGAACUCCGAGUGUAGAGGUGAAAUUCGUAGAUAUUCGGAAGAACACCAGUGGCGAAGGCGGCUCACUGGCCCGGUACUGACGCUGAGGAGCGAAAGCGUGGGUAGCAAACAGG
rnacentral:rRNA from 1 species